CAAAUUUAUGUUGAUCUUCAGUUAAAUUAGUUAUCACUAUUUGAUACUUCAAAAAGCAUUAUCAUUAAAGUUCUCUGAAUGAUUACUAAUUCUGAUACAGUGCAAAAAAAAAAGAAAAGAAAAAAAGAAAAAGAAAAACUCCUCAGCCAGGGGUAAUGUAAUGUACAUUUUUAAAGGUUCUGUGAUGGGGCAUGCAUGCCCCACACUGGGACUGCAGGGGUUAAUUCCAUUCUUUGGGCCAAGGAGGCCACAUCCCCUUGACCCUGCUGGGCAUGCUCUGGCUGGAGGCCAGGUAUAAAAGGGAGCAGCCCAGUUCAUUUGGGGGCUGACUGCCAGAGAGGAAGGAGGUGUGCUGCAGGCUCCUGCUGAUAGACGGCCAACACUCCAUGAUGCAGAGGCCAGCCAGACAGCAGCGACCAACAGACCCCAGGCUCCGGACACCACAGAGGGAGAGGAGACCGGGGGAACCACGAGACCACAAGCUGCAGAGAAGCAGCCAAACUCCAACUGACGUCAAAGGGAAUGCGCCCGAGUAAAGACCAAGAGGGGGGAAAAUGAGCACCAAAGGAGAAAAACAACAAGCCAUGUCCAGGGUUGUGUGGCAAGAUUUGUCAAGCAUGAGAUCCUGUCAAUCAUUGAUGAGGAUGCUGUUCCUUACUUAGGCUGAUUCCUGCCUGUCCUUCCUCUCUGCAGGUUACAUUUGAACACCCUGAUUGAUUUCCAGCUAUCUUUUGCCACCUUGUGGAGAAGGUGAAACACUGCAUGACAUAAAUGGCAAACUCUAGAGCUUGUCAGAAAACAAAACUUUUUCCCCUGUGGGGAAAAAAAAAAUUCAUCAAAACUUUCCACUUAAAAUUUUGACUUUUCAUCAAAAAAUUAAAAGUUUUGGCCCAAAAAAGAAAAGUUUUCAAUGGAGACUCAAAUUUAUGCAGAAAGCAGACACUUUUCAUGAAAAUACUUGUUUAGAAAUCACUCAAACUUCAAUUGAAACACCGUUUUGAUAGAAAAGUUUUGACUAGUCUUAAUGAAGUCCCCAAAUGGUAUCACCAUGUGGUCAUUUAUAGGUAGGGCCCUAGCAAAUUCAUAGCCAUGAAAAACACAUCAUGGACCGUGAAAUCUGAUCUCCCCUCAUGAAAUCUGGUAUUUUGUGUGCUUUUACCCUAUAUUAUACAGAUUUCAGAGGGGAGACCAGUGUUUCUCAA